rnacentral:lncRNA from 1 species
GCCGGUCCAGGGGGUGCCGCGCAUGCGAGGGAGCAUCGCGUCGUCAAGUGCGGUUGGUAAGUAUACUUUAUGCUGCUUUUUUUGUCAACAUCGUCUCCGUGCAGGCUACACUGGCAAACAAGCUGCUUAACUCUUGUGCAUGCUGGUUUUUCGUCAUCACUAGUAUACUGGUAUUGGACUGAAGCUUGUUAGCUCUGUCCAUGCUGGGUCUUUUUUUUCAUUAUUAGUAUUGUUAUAUAUUAGCUGAAGCUGCACAUGUUUUCUUUCCAUUGACGUUGGUGCGGGCGGUGCUACGCGUCAGUCGGCCGAGGGAUGGACGCCUUACUCACCUGAUUUUAAUCAAGUCCCACCUAGGUGUAGUUUGUUUUGUCACUAGCUGUGUAUACAUAGGCGAGCUCCAGCACUAUGUUGCAGCGUGGAAAACAUAUGAACUGUAAUAAGAAACAUGCAAUGGCUAGAAAUAUCUCCACAUAUUUUUUCAGCACGUUUUAGGUGUCAACGAAUUUAGUCGGAUCGCCAGCCAUCGAAUUGACAUAUGGAGCAUUGGAUCACACUACACGGCAGCAGAGAGAAUGGAAACCGUGUUCCUCCAUAGCCUCCACAAUACAUGUGUAUCCACCACCCCUCCCACAUCGUCGCAACAGACAAUUACGUCGGCCCCUUGCAACACCUGGCUUUGGUACCCUAGAGAUCCCUGAUAUCGCUUGGAUAUCCUUCAAGUAUUAUUACAAUGCGCCAACGAGGCGUCGUCCUUGCAACAUUGUCUUACAGACAAUGUAGUUGAUGCCACCACCACCAUCACCCAUUUACACAUGGGCCGUGGCAUGUGGCACUGUUCGUGGGAUAAAACACACCCCGCGAGAAUAUGCGGUUGCACCACUAUGAUCUGUGCAUCUUAGGAAUUGUUGUGACUGCCCCUGCAAAACUAGCGAUGAUACGACCAUCGCCCUGCAACAUCGGCCAUAGUUGUAGCACAUAUGAGAAGACGGAUGCCGCACCUAACAACACAUUAUGUGUUUUUUGCACCAUAUGAAAGCACUGCCUUGCAACAUCGGCUAUCAGGGUGCUGCACCGACAAACACACUCAUGACCUUGAGAUGUCGUAUGCCUUGGCCGAUGUAGCAUAGUGCUCCUCUUUCAGCAUAUAGCGAUGGCUUGUAGCAUUGAUGGUCGGAGAGUCGCAACAUCACUGAGUGGCAGUGCUAGCCCAACUCAUUGUCAUAGAGAAAGGGGCAUAAAGGAUGGGUGUGCACGUGGUGGAAAUAAAGUGAAUGGAUAUGGUGAAGAGAGAGGAAGACUAACAGGGGCAUCCGGCGCUAGAGCGAUCUGACUGAUUUACCCCUGAAACCAGCCUGUUGAAUAUAAUUCAAUUUUCUUUUCAGAGACCUCGUAAAAACGUCGCAACAUGCGAGCAUGUCUAUACAAAAAAUUGUAGAUAUACAACGCAUACUCAUUAGCUUCAACAAAUAAGUGAAAAAACACAAUGUAUAUAGGCCUGAACCGAUGGAUCAUCAGCAUGCAUCUACCAGAUCUUCCUAGGUUACGCCCAACCGUGAGUCGUUCAAUUGGGUCACACAUCACUACCCAAUCAACCACCAACUUAGUUGUUCCUCUCGUCUCCUCUACCCACCCUUCGCAACAUACACCCAUGAUUCUCAGCAAUAGACCAACAUGGAGGCGACAAUGGUGUCCAUGAUAGGCUAGUCAAAAGCACACCGGUGAUCAACCUUACAACACUAAACAGAACAUUGCAACAUGAGGUAACCCCAACUUUGUAGCACUGGUGCACCAUUUUCAACCACCUUGUAGCAAUGAAAAGUUCACUGACCAAUAGCAUUGCUGCACCAAGUUACUGGCUUCCAGCACUGAACACACGGGCUUGCAGCACCGCGAUGAUCGAUGGUCGGCCUUUCAACAAUAUUAGUUAACAUUGCACACCUCGUCUCCAUUUUUAUGUACAUACACAUGAGUGAGAUUGGAACAUCAGUAACGUAUCAACAUUACCAAACAUGAAGACAAUAAAUUUGUUUCUCCAAGCAUAGACGUUACUGAAUAAGCGUGCAACUGCACAUCCACCACAUGAGCCAUAAUUUUUUAGCUCUGUGACAACAGCUUAUAGUUGCAAAAGAGCUGACGAUGAUGGUUUAGAAUGUAUAUGAUCAAAAUAGAUUAAAUGGAGGGGAGGAUGGACUACCUAUGUUGAAUCGGACUAGCCGCAAGGUCACAAGUGCCUUGUCUAAAUAGCCAAAAAGACAAAAGGAGGCCUCCUGGAUUCUCCAUCCUGAAGCUAAGCAUAACUCCAACUCCAGACACGCUAGGGGGCUACUAAAGGUGCAAUACGCUAGGGAUGUCUUCUGGGUGGGAAGCCCGGUAGCAGGCUUGCCUUAGGGCCCAAGAGGCCAACUGGAGGAUCGGUGCAGUAGGGCAGCUCAGGAGCCUAGAUAAGGACUGUGGGAGCAUCUUGGCAGGCAAGCUAAGAUGGCAGUGGUAUGAGAUCUGAUGGAUUCCUUGUAAACCUAGCCCGCGCCACCUAUAUAAGGAGGGGCUCGGGGUUGUCAUUCACAUAUACUCUCAUAGACUAUACUCUCUGUAGCAUUAUACUUCAUCUCCACUCUAAACCCCUCGCACAAGGUGCUCCACCAUGAAUAAAAAUCAAAUACAGGAUGUUGGGCAUUACCUCUCACCGAGGGUCCGAACCUAGGUAAAAACCUUUGUGCGGACUACCUUGUCGUGUAUCCCCACAAGUUCACCACCCUACUAUGGGUACUCACGGUUUUCCAUACUAUCACAUAGUUAAGUUCUAAAACAUUUUCUUUGGGGAGUUGAAGCAACUCAUGGUGUAAGUAGGUGUUGCUUGAAGCACUGAUUCUACUAGCACCUCCUUUCCCUCCUUUGAGAUACCUUGUCCUUCCAAUCCAACCACUUUGCCAUUUGAGCUUUCUUUAAUAUGUUUAAAAUUUCCUUCCUUUGACCUACCCACCACGGUUGGGACCCCAAAUAAUGCUCGCUCAAUGCCUUAGGAUCUGUGCAAAGAUAUUAACAACAACUUAGUCCUCCUAUUUGCCUCACUUCCCAAAGAAUGUUGAAGCUUUUAGAAAAUUUCCCAUUUGUCCCGAGGCCCACUCGUAGUCAAAUAGGAUAUAUUUAAGGUUACAAAGUUGCCAUUUGACGGUUGAAGAAAUACUAUACUAUCAUCUGCAGAAAUAAGAUGGGCUACAUGGGGGUUAGUGCUCCCAAAAGAUAUACCAUUGAUCUCUUUAUCUUUGAGCACUCAUGAGAAAGGCCAAAAAACUCGCAACAUAGAAAUAAGAAAAUAGGGAGACCAUCGGUCUCCUUGCCAGAGCCCUCUUCAUAGUAUAAAAAAUACAUAACACACUCCUUUCAAUUUGAUAGAAAACCUGGCCGGGGUACCACACAUCAUAAUCAUCAAGAUCAACCUAUCUGAGAAACCAAGUGCCCUCAUCAUCAGAUCGAGGAAAAUCCAAACCACCCUCUUAUAGGCCUUCAUCAUGUAUAGUUUAAUUGCGAACAUUGGAUUUUUCUAUUUCUUGAACGAACAUACUUUGCUCCUGCGUGAUCAUUAUGGAUAUGACAACCUUCAAUCUCUUUGCUAGGCCUUUGAAGCAAUCUGACUGAGCGUGUUCAAUAAGUUGAUUGAUCCCAUUUGAGGAAGUAUCUCCAUUGAGGUAAUUUUGGGGAUUAGGACUAGAACCAUAUCACUAAAGUUUGGUCAAAUAACUCCAUUAAAAGAAUCACCUAUUACUAUGCGUACAUCAUUUUUUAGAAAUAACUAGUGAAAUUGGUAAACAUAAGUGAGAGGUUGUCUAGCCCCUGCGCUCUUGCCAGUCAAAUUUAGAAUAGUGCAUUCUCAAUUUCUUCAUCCAUCACGUCCGUGUUCACCCUCUCCUCCAUAUCACUAGUCACACAGGGUCGGAUGUGAGCUAAGAUGUUGUCAGCAUCAACAGAGGCUUCUGAAGAAAACAACUAAGCAUAGAAAUCGGCCGAAAUCUUCCCCAUCUCAUUGUCAAUAGUACAACUCGUGCCAUCCGCCCUCAUGUUUUGAUCGUCUUCCUUGAGAAAUUCCAGUUGGGAACAUUGCAUACACAUUAUUUGUUCCUGUGCACGAACCACAUGAAGCUACGCUUCAAUCUCGCUGGUCUUCAGCAAGGAUGUCUGGAUCCCAAUGCGCUACCCUUUCCAUCGAAGCUGGACCUUGUGCCUAGUAAUCUGACAACAUACAAGACAAAAUAUAGAGCCACUUCAAUGUUUCAUAUCAUUGGUGACAUUGUUACGCUUCCUGUAGAGCUCACUCUGGCCGAAAUUGUUAUCACAUGCACACUAUCAUGUCUACAUGGGCAUCCACCUCUCCUCAAACGUUAAUGCCCUCUUCUUACUUUUGGUAAUGACUAGGUUUUCUAGCGAUCUAUUAACGAGCAAACCAUGGUAUGGUCCUCCAUGACAACAUGUUCAAUGGGUGUAUCCUACAAUGAAUGCACGAAUUCAUCAUUGCAUGGACCCCUGUCCACAUGUACAUAAACGAUCUCAUCCCGCUCCCUCUUAUUGUCCCAAGUGUACAUGUUGCUACUAAAACAAAGUUUUGAAACACUAUUAUUGGCUACACUCUCCCUAAUGCGCUCCAUUUGUGUGAAACUCCUCAAGUAAUCUCCUAGUUGUUGUGAUUAAAAGAAUUCUUUGUUGAGGUAUCAUUGUAACAGAUAAAUGUAUUAUUAGGAUCCAAUCUCUCGGAGCCUCCCUUAGCUACACAAAUUUUCAUCAAUCUCUCUUCCUAUCCAGUAGCUUUAGGUGAUAAUCAUUGUGACGCCUUUGGUGGUCACCAUCACGUUGCCUUGUCUUAUGAACAAAAGUGCCUCGUCUGCGUUGCUCUGAGGUAGAUGGGUCAUCUUUCCCAAUGGCCUUGCACCCUUUCCCAUAUAGAUUUUUUUAUGUCUUGCUUACUUUCAUGCUCCUUCCUCAGGUCCCACUUGCUUUUUAGAUUUAAAUCAUCCCUUAGUUCACAAUCAUGUCACAUUUCUUGCCUGAAUUGGUCCUCCCUACACUUCAUCUUAGGCAGUUACCCUGUACAAGACCAUCUCGAGGAUCCUCGCUAGAGAGAGAGUCCACAGAGGGUGUAUAAUCAGUGUAUGACCUGCACGUAAAUGGACGGGCAUGCAACGCUACAUGACCCCUGCGCCCAUAGACGCCCUUGCUUGACCUAGUGCUCCCAAAACUAAAGUUCCUGCUUUCUUUCACCGGCCUCUACUUAGUUUUUGUCUAUGAGGAGCCAUGUCCAAGUGAUGCCCUCAACCAUUCACCCAACUGGGGUGAGGAAUCAUUUUGUGGUUCAAAUCAUCUGUCAACAUGUGCUAGUCUGUCGUAGUCAAUCCAAAAGAGAGGUAUCUUCUCAAAUUGAAAAUCAAACAAGGUCCCCUCAUCUUUUGCUGAAGAGUGGAGAAAGAAGCCUUAGACUAGUGAAAGAAAUCUAUCUCUAAAUCUGAGAUGGUUCCCCCAUAAAUCCAUCGUUCUUAACAUCACUCUUUACCACGCCACCAAGACAAUUCCCAAGAGCAUUCCUAAAAGUAUAUGAUCAUUUAUAUAGGGGAGGAUCUGUAAUUAUCACCCAUGGCUCCGUCAUACAAAACAUUAUCUUCGAUGACCUAGUUUUUUCAUCAUAAUCCUUCAAAACUAUCACAUUAAAACCAAAUUGCCACAUUCAAUUAUAUAGAGCGUGCUUCUAGACUCCUUUGUUAUGGAAUCUAAAGAAGAAGAUACUAUUUCUAAUGUGACUUACUUGGACUUCCUAAUAGUGUCACAUGUAUGUUGCGUAGCCCUAGCAAACACGUUGAUGUUGAUUUGCUGGAGUGAGCAUGCCUUUCCAACCACUGACCACCGAUAGGCCUCGGUCGGUCUGGAAUCCUGAUUCUCAAGCAUGAGAUCUAUUAGUUCCUUUUGUUGUUAACUUCAGGGCUCCUUGUUAAUUUGGUUGAGAGAUUAGCUGCCUCCCCUGAAGCAUUUCCAUCUGUCAGGGACUUUGAAGGUUCUCAUCUUAAUGAUCCUUGGUCGCCCUGUUCACUUGAGCUGUCGAUUUACGCCACGCCUUCUCUCCCAUAGUCGCGCAAAGGAGUGGAAGCACCAAGACCAAUCAAUGUAGGAGUAUAGAGUGUCAUCACCUCAUAGAUGAAUAGAAACCUAACCCUAGCACUACUUGUCGGUCGCCUAUAAUCGCCCUUAGCAUUUCUUUUCAUGUUGGGCCCGCCAUAAGGUAUUUAUACGUUCGCUUCCAUUGGUACUUUUUUUUGCACUGGAGCCUUUCUGCUACAUUUGCCUUUCUACGAAGGAUGUCUUAUCCAAAUCAUAUAGUCUCCUCUAUCUAUAGGAAGCGAGGACAUUAGCUCUUCUUUUUUUUCAAGGCAAAUACACUUGCUAGUGUUCAAGCGACAUCGAAAGAAGUCUUGUCACAUGUGAAGACGACGCUAAGAGUGUGACACAUAUAGGUGCCAACUUGAAGAAUAAUGCAAAUUUCAGUAAAUAUGAAUAGCUCCUGGGGGAACGAGCGCAUAAAGGAAUCAGCCACCAUAAAUGGAUCAUUUCCAAAGAAACAAAGUCACAAAGAGAGAGACAAGACAUUAGCUUCUUUAUGGGGAACACAUAUAUUUAAAUGUUGCCUUGCUCUCUGAUUAUUAACAAGAAAUAUUUUGUACUAAUAUAUUAUGUGUAAAUCUUGAUAGAUAUGGAAUGUAUUUUGGUCAGUAUGUUUUAAGGAAUCAUAUUAGUUUUUGGUAUGUAGAAAUUAAAAGAAGUUCAUGUGCCUUCAAGGCAUGUCAAGGUGUGUUGUUCCACCUCAAAAUUGGUUCAUACUAAAUGGUUAUUCUCCCUACAUAUAGCCCCAAUUCUCAUGCUCUCUCACUCUCUCUCUCUAUUUUAUAUUCCAGACUACUAUAUAAAGCCUAACUGGUGAAGGUCCAGAAACACCCAGCAGUGACGGGUUCAACUCCCAUUAGUAGUCUAUACUUAGUGGAGGAGAAACAAGCCACUUACAGGCACGAGCCCGCCAAUGGUGAAUAAAUCAGAAAAGAAAAUCAGGCCAUGGCCAGUCCAAAUCCAGCACCUGCCAACAAUGUGUAGUCUCCACUACUCGAACCUACUUUUCCUCAGUGCGUGACAUCAUGUGAUGUUUGGAGAAUCCAUAGAGUUGGGGAUCCGAAUAUAAAAAACAACAAUGGGGAGUGGCUUGAAGAAUAGGAGCCAAGAAGCCGGACGGAGAAGGCCUCCACCAUACUGCACCAUUGGCCGAUACUGACCUGUAUGGUGCAAGGACCAAGGCAGAACUGAACACCGUCAUCAUCUAGGUUGCAAAGGAAGUUGGACCACUGUGUUGCUUCUCUCGGACAAACUCAAUGAUUUCAUGCAGUUGGCACCCAUGCCACAUUCCAUAGAGAUAACAACAUUGAGGAGGAGGAGGGACAACGCAAGGUUUCUUCCUCAUAGGAAUUAGUUUCGAGGAAGUGGGGGGACGAUAUGGCAUGAUGAGCAGUUAACAAGGGAAGUUUGCAUGACUGUGGAGGACAAAGCAUUAAGACAAGUGUGCUAGUAGCUAGAUAAGGGAUGAAUGAUAGCAGGAAGGAAUAAUGAGCUUACUGGGUGAGGCUACUAUUUUUUAAGUUGCGACCUACUGAUCAUAACAACAAUUGAUCGUAACAACGUACCAUUGAUGAUUUAGGGUAUUGAUUUAGUAACUGUUAGGAUGUGACUACGGCUUGUAAGUGGUGGGUUGUAUAUUACUAACAAGUAGCAUGUUUAGCCUCAAUAUUGUCCUCUGUCACUCGUAACAACGUGCCAUUGACGGACCACAUAUUGGGCCCGUCACUACUACCUUUUUCAAACAAAAAUAGAAUUUUAGUUAUAGUCAGAUUCACAACAAUCCCGCCGGCCAUUAGUGUUAAGUAGCAUUGCUGACCGGUUUUUUGAACCACCACUUUUGAUCGAUAACUAGGCGAGAACUCUAGUGUAGUGCACAUUUGUUUGGUUGAGAAUUUUUAGUGUUUUUAUGUGCACAAAGACAUAUCGUUCAACCCUAACAUGUUCUCUUUAGGUGGGGUCGAGAGUGAAGGACUGGCGAGCUUGGAAGCAGGGGAAAUGGCACCUCGAGGGGUUCAGGUCUCCAUGAUCAAUAACCACAAUUUUGAUCUGAAUGAGCUGCCGACUGAGCAUGAGUAGCUCAAGAAGGAGUAGUCACCCGUGGAGCAAGAGUAGCCCCC